AGCUGUCUAUGAUGACUUUUGUUUUCAAAACAAUGGGAAUCUCUCUGAAAAAGAGUGAAGACAACUUUUUUCUGAUGCAGUA
ensembl:snoRNA SNORD79 Small nucleolar RNA SNORD79